CUCAAGUGAAUAUAAACUUACAAACUGGUGAGUACAGUAUGCUCGUUCAAGUUUUCAGGAAUUACACUUGCUAUUCCUCUGCUUGGGAUACUUUUGCCCAAUUCUUUAGCUAUAAAGGUUUACUCAUCUCAAUACAACUAUUAUACCCUUGGUGAAACUUUUCCUGGACAUUUCCAAACAGGCUAUCUGCAGAAUUAUGAACUCCCUCCUCCACAUUCUAGAAUAUCUUAUAUGAACUUCAUAAUGAUGAUCCUAAUUACAGUAAUAGUCGUUUGCAUGUCUUCCUGCAGACCAGAUUGAGAGUUCCUGGAGGGCAGGAGUUACUUCUUUUUAUCUUUAUAUCCUCAGAGCCUAGUAUAGGAUGUUCAAUGAAGGUUUACUGAAUAAAUGAAUAUAAGUUUUAUGAAGGUAAGAUACAUUACAUAAGGGUAUUGUGAAGAAGGCAACAGCAUAAAAUCACUACCAUCACUGAGAUGGAACUAGGAUGUUUCUGCCCCAGAAACAUUUCCACAUAGUAACAUGGAAAAUAUUAAGGUUAAGCAUAAGGAAAACAGUUCAGUCCCACUGUCAACAGCAAGAGAAGACUGAAUCCUGAGAUUUUAUUUAUUAUCUACACAGGAUUAAAUGCUCCCACUGGAUCCUAGGUCAACAGCACCAAGAACAGUACACUGAAGGGACUAUAUGUCCCUUUUAAUUGUUUAAUUGUCCAAGUGAAUUAGAUUAAAUCUCCUCUAUGCCAACUCUAAUCCAAUGUCAAACCAAUGACAUAAUGUAUGUGUAACCUUUAUAACCUUAAUUAUACAAAUAGGUAUUGAAUACAAAUAAGUAUUCAAUUCCUUACUGAUCUAUAAAGGUCUAUUCAAA
rnacentral:lncRNA from 1 species